UCCCUGCAUCCUCUGAGUUCACAUAACAUGAACGGAGAAUGACAAUAAGUAAGUACACAAAAACAAAAAUAUGCAGAUAUUGCCAGGUGCUAACAAGUGCUACAGUGAUGACAGAAAAAAAAAAAAAAAAAAGCAAGUUAAGUGGAAUGGAACAAGGGGUGAAGGUAUGGAGAUGAAUCUGAGAUGAGAUGAAACAAAUGGUGGUAUUAUUUUUAGGGAUUGUUUUGUGCUUGAUAAAUAUAACUCUGGUGAUGAAUGUGAGGGUCGGUCUGAAUGGUGGUGAGAGGGGAGUUGGUGGUUAGGUACUAGUGUGGUCAUAUAGGGCAGAGAUGGCAGUGACCAUGCUAAGGGUCUGGCAGUGAGGUGGAGAAGUGUAUAAGAAAAUAGAUAGGUCUAUAUAUGUAUAUUUAUCUAUAUAUCAUAUAUAUGUAUGAAUAUAUAACAUAUCUUGUGUUUAUCUAAAUAUGAAGAGGGAGAAAAGAAUAGAAAAUAUAUAAGCUAUGUUUAAAAGAGUAGGCUGGACAGGGCUCAGUCACUUUUUCAAUCUUUAUUGAGAAGCUGCUUAAUUUGGGUCAUGUGCCAGACAUCUCAGACACCCAAUGCAUGUGUGUGGGUCUACAAUACUUUAUGUAGGAGGGUCUGUCAUGUGUAAAACAAUAUGGACCAUGUCUACCUCAGAGAAAACUUAGCAAAUUCAUGAACUGUGCCUGUCCCAUUUUAUGUGUCUUCUCAAAAAAAAUAAUUACUCUUUAGGAAUGUGUAAAGUAAAGGAAAAUAUAUCUCCAUUUUAGAAUAAUGUAUUACAUAAGCAAGUCUUCUUUUCCCUGCAGGACACAAAGCCUGGUCAGUCCUACUAAUGGAAGGUAGUAAUAAAGCCAUCAGACUUUCAGUAAGAAACAAUUGCCUUGUGGAUGAGAAGUGGUCGCUGGUAUAUAAUUCGAAAAUGGACUGAUUGUUUCCCACCCACACUCUCCCUUCAGGAAUUCAGCCAGCAAUUCCAUAUGCACAUGCAUACACCCAAAUGAAGUAAUUUUUAAAGAGGGUUCUCUAGUACUGAUGGGUGUCACCUCAUCAUGCUUUCUCUUCCCAUUAGAUUGGAUCACUGAGCCGGAGAGUGGAGGGUUUGUCCCUUUCUGACCAGGACACUGAUGAGCCUCAUGAAUUAAAAUUUAUGUCCUCCCUUGUUACUGAUGUGCCACCUGGCUCUUUUGAAUUAUCACAGCCACCAAAUGAAUUUUAUAGUCCAUUGGGGGCUGUCCAUGCUUGUUAAGGUGAUAUUUCCAUCUCUAGCAUAGUACAGAAUCUCAUCUUCUCCUUGGUGAAUAAUCACAGUGCCUAAUCGCCAUCAGCUAUCUUUUGCUUCUUGAAGUGGUCUCUAAGUUAUGUAUCCUCUACUUCUGAGAAGGCCAGUCAAAAGAUGGGAUUACCGUCAAAUCCUGACAGCCCUGUUGAUUAUCUCUAUUGUGUAUCUGCUCCCCACUACACCAGCCUCUGGUUUAAUGACGUAUGUUCCCUAGAUGGGUUUGUUCUAUUUCCAUCUGAUUUUCCCUAUUUCUAUUCUUCUGUUACUAAUUUCUCUUAUUUUGCACUUCUCUUUCUUCCCUGUUCUAUUAAAAUCACUUAGGUUCACUCUGGCAUUAAAUACUUUCAAGAAUCUGUGAGUAGGUAUUUCUAUUCCUAUAUUACAGGUAUAAGAAGGUUGCCCAAGGUCAUGCAGGUAAUAGAAGAAAAAAGCAAAAAUUCAACUUGUGAUUAUAUGAUUCCAAAGACUAUGUUUUUUUAAUAUCCAAUACUGCUUAAGAAAGCCGUGCAUUUCCCCUUGUUCUGCUAAACCUCACUCUGGUAUUCUCAAUCUCUCACUGCAAACUCUCCUGGAAGAAGAGAACAGCACUACAAUAUUUACUUCCGUGUCUUUACAGCAAUUUUCUUUUAAGUCAUGAAAGUAAUAUGAGAAGAUAAAGAACAUAACAUUUGGACUUAGGAAAUAUGAUUUUGUAUAGUUCUAGCACCAACUAGUCAGGUGAUCUAGACAAAUUCCCCUUGAGUAUGAAAUGAUGCAAUAAUACCAAUAGGAUCUUAGGGUUAUGGAAAGAUUAAAGUGAAAGUACUUAGAGGUGUCCAUGGCAAUCUGAUUGAUCCAAGGGGAUACAAUGGCUGAAAAUCAAUGGUUUGGAUGGAAGGAACCUAAUGAGAUACUUUGGAAGUUUCUGCAAAUCAGAUCUGGGGCAUGCCCGAGUCCCUGUCUGCCCUAAGUUAGUUACUUUUGUGAAAACCACUCAACAUAUUGCUUUAAACUUUGGCUUUUUCCCUAAAGUGUUCCAAUGUCAACUUUUUUUUUUGCAACCCAGGAGAUCUAAUGCAAUAUCCAAUCUACACUUCCCCAGAAGUCUGAUUUUCAUGGGAUCUCAGUGAGACAAGAUUCAAAGUAAACCACUGCUCUGAGGCCAAAAUGGCAAGAUUGAGUAUAUCAUAUGCAAAGAGUUUGCUUAAGAGACUGUAUGGCUGUCUCAUCUGGUAAGGGUUUGUGUCCUGGUGGUAUUAUAGUCCAUCCUCUUCUUGUGAACUGGCCCUCCAAGGUUGGCCAUAAAGCUGGCAUACUCACUAGAAGGAGCCUGGGGCCAGAUUAACUCAGACCUGAAGUAGAUUCUGAGGGACAGCUCAAGGUGAUAAGGAUUCCCUGAGCUCUCCUAGCUCCAUGGGAUGCCAGUGUUCAGAGACCUUGGAAGGACAGUGAGUGCCGUGAUGGAUUGCUAACUGAGAGCCACUUGUAUCCUCAGCAGGGCUGCCUUUGUUGAUCAGGGAAAAGGAAGUUCAUGUUCUAACUCUUAGGUGUCAGGCAAGGCUGAUUGACAGAACAUACUUCAUUUCAAUGCAAGCAUUGAUGUAGACUUGAGACUAAAGCCCUUAUGUCUGGACCCUCGAAGGGCAUCUAGCCCCAGCCACUGAGUAACACAGGAAGGAAAGAGGUAAAGACUAUCCUAGAAAUUUGCUGUUUCUCUCUAUCAUGAUCUGUCCCAUCAGGAAUUCUUUCAAACACCUACUAUGAAUAUUAUUUUCCAAGGGUAAACUUCAAAUUUCAGAUUAGUUUGAAUUUGGGAAAAAACAAAAGGGUAUGUGGGGGAUGGGUGUCUAUGUGUGUUAUGGCUUUGGACCUGGUGUGUGAUUACAGUAAAUUGAAAUUCUUCUGGAUUUAGUUGGGAGAUGACUGGAGAAUAUCUGAUUUCCCGGCAAUCAGUGCCAUUACUGACUUACUCUGAAUGGAUCUCUUAUUUAUUGCUUAGCUAGCAUAAGCAGUAUACUUAAGGCUGUACCAUAUGUGAAGAAAUGAAUACUUCCCUCAUUUACAGAGAUAAUUUGGUCUACUAAGGGUACAAUGAUUUCUGGCUAAUACAUAAAGAUCCAGAUGGCUUGCCAAUAUUAAAGAUCUAUUUUAGGCAUAUAAUUUUCAGGUCUUAACUCAUAGCACCUCAACCAAAUUCAAAUGCAAUUAUCGUCUGUUCCUCUAAAUUCCCAAAAACAAUUCACUUGGAUACAGCAUGCUUCCCUGUUGCUGGGUGGUGGUUCUAUCUCUGCUAUUACACAUUGCUAGAGCCUAUCAGACGGGUGAGUUGAUGGAUCCUAACCAUUACUCACUUGCCUCAUUAGUUAUAUGGGGCUUAAGUAAUUCAUAUUUUUUUAAAAAAAGGAAAGAUGAAAGAUGUUUGAAUCCCUUAAUUGAAAGAUGGCAUAAAAUGCCAGCAUUUUUGCCUGAAGAGAAAAAAAAAAUCCUUAAUAUAAAAAGGAAGUUAUAUAGAGAAAGGGUAUAUGGAGAGUUAUAUGGAGAAAGGGUAGAGUGGGCUUUCCAUUUAGGUCCAUCGACAGUAAUUCUUAUCCCUGGUUGAAGUUAGAAUCACCUGCAGUGCGUUACAAAAGACCAAUCCCCAAGUCACAAUCUAGACCACUUAAAUGAGAAUCUCCAGACUGGGAGCCUGAGCACUGAGAUUUUAAAAUAGUUUCUUGGGUGAUUCUAGUCCACAGUCAGGAUUGAAUACCCUCAUAAAAUGCCUAUCUCAAGUGACUCAGUGAUAAGUAACACUCGCUACCUCCAAUUUUACAGUAUUAGCCUUAGAGAAGAUAAGAAAAUGCCUUGGAAGAAGAUAAUGCCUUAAAUUGAACAUGAAAACUCUGUGUAAUUAAACCUAACGUAAAAAAAAUCACAACCAUGCAUACUAUUACCUCCAAGACAUUUCUUACUUUUUUUUUUUUUUUUUACACGUAUAAUGAUCAAUAUUCUUAGGUUGUUUCUAUGUUGCAUUUCCUUUCUUUGGUAAGAACUACCAUAAUUACCAACUAUUUAAAAAUCUGUCAUAGCAGUUAAUCCUACUUUUCAUUCUUUUGGAUGGCUGCACAGCCACCUGGAAAGAAAACAACAUGUUAAUUGAUGAGACAAAUCAAAAUUUGAAAUCUCUCUAGUCAGGAGCUUCUGAAGGUUCUGGAAAAGAUCAAAUGUGUAUGUGUUUGCCCAAUGAAAUAAGCCUUAAGAACACAGCCAGUCCAGCUCUUCCAAGUGCUAGCGGCAGCGAUGUCUGUGUAGUCCUCUAUACCCUAACCAAGCAAGUUCCUCCUCACUUUAUCCUCACUGUAACUCUGUGAACUAGGAUGGACUAGAGAUCAACAUACCCAUUUUAUAGAUGAGGGAACUGAAUCUUAAGGUUUGUUAAUGGCUUUUGAGGUAUAAUUCUACUGCAGCUUGAUGCCGCUGUAAAGGGAUAUUUUCUUCCUUUGUAUUUAUACUGGCAUCUGCUUGUAUAUAGAAAAGCUAUUGUUUUUCUUUAAUUUAUUUUAUUCAAGUAUAGUUAAUUUACAGUGUUAUGUUAAUUUCUGCUAUAUAGCAGGGCGAUUCAGUUAAACACACACACAUACAUACACAUACAGUCUUUUUCAUGUUCUUUUCCAUAAUGGUUUAUCACAGGAUAUUGAAUAUAGUUCCCUGUGCUAUACAGUAAGAACUUGUUAUUUAUCCAUCCCAUAUAUAAUUUGUAGUGCUAAUUAAUUAUGGAACAAUAUUAAAUAUCUAUAAUACUGGACAUCCUUUUUUUGAUACUAACUUUAAUGUGAAUACAUUGAAAUUUUCCAUGUCUAAACAUGAUACUAGUUUUUAGGUUAAGAGAGGGAAAUAUCUAUGUAUGUGUGUUUUUAUUUAAUAUGUGCUUAUAAGAUAUAUGCAUAUAUAAAAUGCAGUGUUAACAAGUAUCCAGUUCUUAUAACUCAACAAUUAAAAGAUAAACCACCCAAUUAAAAAAUAGAUGAAGGACUUGAAUUGACAUUUCUCCAAAAAAGAUAUUCAAAUGGCCAAUAAGACCAUGAAAGGAUGUUCAACAUCAUUAACCACUAGGGAAAUACAAAUCAAAAAUGCAAUAACUGAUUCACUUCCACUAGGAUGACUACAAUUUUUUUAAAAAUAACAACUGUUGGUGAGGAUGUGGGGAAACUGGAACCUUCAUACAUUGCUAGUGGGAAUUAAAAACAGUGUAGCACUGUGGAAAAGAGUUGGUAGUUCCUGAAAGUAUUAAGCAUAGAAAUAUCACAUGCCUUAGCAAUUCCACUCCCAGGUAUAUAGUGCAAACUAAAGGUGUUGUUAUCUACUAAAUUGUCUCCUCCUCCAACUCAAAUUCAUGUGUUGGAGCUCCAAGCCCUAGUGUGACUACAUUUUACAUGGACUUUAAAAAGGUAAUUAAGAUUAAAUUAGGUCAUAACAAUAUGACCUUAAUGAAAAUGACAGGUGUCCUUAUAAGAAGAGAGAGGUAGCAAGGGCUUAUAUGCAAAGAGAAAAGACCAUAAGAGAUCAUAGUGAGAUGGUAGCCAUCUACAAACCAAGGAGAGAGACAUCUGGAAAAACCAACCCGGCCAGCACCUUGAUCUAGCACUUCCAGCCUCCAGAACUGUAAGAAAAUCAAUUUCUGUUGUUUCUGCCACCAAAUCUGUAGUGUUUUGAUCAUGACAGUCUUAGCAGACUAAUACAGAAGUUUAAACAAGAACUUGUAGAUGAUGUUUGUAAUAGUCAUAAUAACUAAACUGUGAAAACAACACAAAUGUCCAUCAGCUGAUAAAUGGAUAAACAAAAUGUGGUUUGCUCUUGGAUAAGCAAUGAGGUCCUGCUGUAUAGCUUGGAGAACUAUGUCCAAUCACUUGUGAUAGAACUUGAUGGAGAAUAAUUUGAGAAAAAGAAUAUAAAACUGGGUCACUGUUGUACAGCAAGAAUUGACAGAACAU
rnacentral:lncRNA from 1 species